AUGAACGCUGGCGGCGUGCCUAAUCCCUGCAAGUCGAGCGAACGGACGAGAAGCUUGCUUCUCUGAUGUUAGCGGCGGACGGGUGAGUAACACGUGGAUAACCUACCUAUAAGACUGGGAUAACUUCGGGAAACCGGAGCUAAUACCGGAUGAUAUUUUGAACCGCAUGGUUCAAAAGUGAAAGACGGUCUUGCUGUCACUUAUAGAUGGAUCCGCGCUGCAUUAGCUAGUUGGUAAGGUAAUGGCUUACCAAGGCAACGAUGCAUAGCCGACCUGAGAGGGUGAUCGGCCACACUGGAACUGAGACACGGUCCAGACUCCUACGGGAGGCAGCAGUAGGGAAUCUUCCGCAAUGGGCGAAAGCCUGACGGAGCAACGCCGCGUGAGUGAUGAAGGUCUUCGGAUCGUAAAACUCUGUUAUUAGGGAAGAACAUAUGUGUAAGUAACUGUGCACAUCUUGACGGUACCUAAUCAGAAAGCCACGGCUAACUACGUG
rnacentral:rRNA from 1 species